rnacentral:rRNA from 1 species
UACGAAGGGGGCUAGCGUUGCUCGGAAUCACUGGGCGUAAAGGGUGCGUAGGCGGGUCUUUUAAGUCAGGGGUGAAAUCCUGGAGCUCAACUCCAGAACUGCCUUUGAUACUGAAGAUCUUGAGUUCGGGAGAGGUGAGUGGAACUGCGAGUGUAGAGGUGAAAUUCGUAGAUAUUCGCAAGAACACCAGUGGCGAAGGCGGACCGGCCCUGGACCUGGACCCUG